rfam:Populus trichocarpa scaffold_16_contig_26, whole genome shotgun sequence.
CAAUUUGUCUACGGCAUAUUCUCAUAUAACUGUGGCAGACGUCACUGCUUAAAAUCAUUUAUUAUCGCAAGCUCGACCACAUCAACUUCUUUCUCCAUCUGAAUCUGAUUCAACAUUGGGUGUGGGAACCUCUAGUGGUUGCCUGAAAA